GAUGAACGCUGGCGGCGUGCUUAACACAUGCAAGUCGAACGGGAUCCAGGCAGCUUGCUGCCUGGUGAGAGUGGCGAACGGGUGAGUAAUGCGUGACCGACCUGCCCCAUACACCGGAAUAGCUCCUGGAAACGGGUGGUAAUGCCGGAUGCUCCGACUCCUCGCAUGGGGUGUCGGGAAAGAUUAUAUCGGUAUGGGAUGGGGUCGCGUCCUAUCAGGUAGUCGGCGGGGUAACGGCCCACCGAGCCUACGACGGGUAGCCGGCCUGAGAGGGCGACCGGCCACAUUGGGACUGAGAUACGGCCCAGACUCCUACGGGAGGCAGCAGUGGGGAAUAUUGCACAAUGGGCGCAAGCCUGAUGCAGCGACGCCGCGUGCGGGAUGACGGCCUUCGGGUUGUAAACCGCUUUUGAUCGGGAGCAAGCCU
rnacentral:rRNA from 1 species